UGCCAGCCGCCGCGGUAAUACGGAGGGCGCAAGCGUUGUUCGGAAUUAUUGGGCGUAAAGCGCGUGUAGGCGGUCUGUUAAGUCGGGUGUGAAAUCCCGGGGCUCAACCCCGGAAUUGCAUUCGAAACUGGCAGACUAGAGUCCCGGAGGGGAAGGCGGAAUUCCCGGUGUAGAGGUGAAAUUCGUAGAGAUCGGGAGGAACACCAGUGGCGAAGGCGGCCUUCUGGACGGUGACUGACGCUGAGACGCGAAAGCGUGGGGAGCAAACAGGAUUAGAUAC
rnacentral:rRNA from 1 species